GAUGAACGCUGGCGGCGUGCCUAAUACAUGCAAGUCGAGCGAACGGACGAGAAGCUUGCUUCUCUGAUGUUAGCGGCGGACGGGUGAGUAACACGUGGAUAACCUACCUAUAAGUCUGGGAUAACUUCGGGAAACCGGAGCUACUACCGGAUCAUAUUUUGUACCGCAUGGUUCAAGAGUGCAAGACGGUCUUGCUGUCUCUUAUAGCUGGUUCCGCGCUGCAUUAGCUAGUUGGUAAGGUAACGGCUUACCAAGGCAACGAUGCAUAGCCGACCUGAGAGGGUGAUCGGCCACACUGGAACUGAGACACGGUCCAGACUCCUACGGGAGGCAGCAGUAGGGAAUCUUCCGCAAUGGGCGAAAGCCUGACGGAGCAACGCCGCGUGAGUGAUGAAGGUCUUCGGAUCGUAAAACUCUGUUAUUAGGGAAGAACAUAUGUGUAAGUAACUGUGCACAUCUUGACGGUACCUAAACAGAAAGCCACGGCUAACUACGUG
rnacentral:rRNA from 1 species